rnacentral:rRNA from 1 species
UACGUAGGGCGCAAGCGUUUGUCCGGAAUUAUUGGGCGUAAAGAGCUCGUAGGCGGUUUGUCGCGUCUGCUGUGAAAUCUCCCGGCUCAACCGGGGAGGGUGCGCGGAAAACUGGCGGGCUAGAGUGCGGGAUGGGAGAGUAGAAUUCCUGGUGUAGCGGUGAAAUGCGUAGAUAUCAGGAGGAAUACCGGUGGUGUAGACGGCUCUCUGGACCGCAACUGACGCUGAAACACGAAAGCGUGGGGAGCGAACAGG